AAGGGUGUGGCUCAGUGUUUGAGCACAUGAUUAGCAUGCACAAGGUCCUGGGUUCAAUCCCCAGUACCUCUC
rnacentral:tRNA from 1 species